rnacentral:tRNA from 1 species
GUGGAAGUAGUUCAAUGGUAGAGCAUCAGGUUGUGGUCCUGACUGUUGCGGGUUCGAGCCCCGUCUUCCACCCUCCA